CCCGGAGCAGCUGCAGGAACAGCUGGCGGCGCGGGCGCGGGACGCCGAGCUGGAGAAAAACACCCUGGCAGCCAGGCUGGCGGAGCUGACGGCGGCUCUGGAGCAGCGCCGGAGCGAGGACGAGGAGAAGGAGCGGGCGGUGGAGGCGCUGGCCCUGCAGCUGCGGGAGCUGGAGGCCGCGCGCGCCCGGGAGCCGACGCCGGAGCAGGUGCAGGCCCUGCGCUCCGAGCUGCAGCUGCUGCGCCGGACGCUGCAUGAGGUCACCCAGGCGGUGCUGGCAGAUGACCCCGAGCACCCCACCCCC